GAGAGACAUGGCGGCUACUAAGUCCGACAGUCUCCGGCGUUUCGGGGAGGAAACGCCCGCUCUACAAGAGCGACUGCUCAAAAUAAGGCCCGCUGCGAUUAUCCCCCGCAGCGGGCCAAAUUUUUGC
rfam:Phenylobacterium sp. Root1277 contig_3, whole genome shotgun sequence.